UACAGAGGGUGCAAGCGUUGUUCGGAAUUAUUGGGCGUAAAGGGCGCGUAGGCGGUGCUGUAAGUCUGUAGUGAAAUCUCUGGGCUCAACUCAGAGUCUGCUAUAGAAACUGUAGUGCUAGAGUGUGGGAGAGGUGAGUGGAAUUCCUGGUGUAGCGGUGAAAUGCGCAGAUAUCAGGAGGAACACCGGUGGCGAAGGCGGGUCUCUGGGCCGUAACUGACGCUGAGGAGCGAAAGCGUGGGGAGCAAACAGG
rnacentral:rRNA from 1 species